rnacentral:misc_RNA from 1 species
GAUGAAGAACGUAGCGAAAUGCGAUACGUAAUGUGAAUUGCAAAUUCAGUGAAUCAUCGAGUCUUUGAACGCACAUUGCGCCCCCUGGUAUUCCGGGGGGCAUGCCUGUCCGAGCGUCAUUGCUGCCCUCAAGCACGGCUUGUGUGUUGGGCCCCGUCCUCCGAUCCCGGGGGACGGGCCCGAAAGGCAGCGGCGGCACCACGUCCGGUCCUCGAGCGUAUGGGGCUUUGUCACCCGCUCUGUAGGCCCGGCCGGCGCUUGCCGAUCAACCCAAAUUUUUUAUCCAGGUUGACCUCGGAUCAGGUAGGGAUACCCGCUGAACUUAAGCAUAUCAAUAAGCGGAGGA